UACGAAGGGGGCUAGCGUUGCUCGGAAUCACUGGGCGUAAAGCGCACGUAGGCGGCUUUUUAAGUCAGGGGUGAAAUCCUGGAGCUCAACUCCAGAACUGCCUUUGAUACUGAGAAGCUUGAGUCCGGGAGAGGUGAGUGGAACUGCGAGUGUAGAGGUGAAAUUCGUAGAUAUUGGGAAGAACACCGAUGGCGAAGGCAGCCAUCUGGACCGACACUGACGCUGAGGCGCGAAAGCGUGGGGAGCAAACAGG
rnacentral:rRNA from 1 species